rnacentral:misc_RNA from 1 species
CGCAUCUUGCGCCCCUCGGCAUUCCGAGGGGCAUGCCUGUUUGAGUGUCGCGUUAACCCUCACCCCUCCCUGACAUUCGUGUCGGGGUCGCGGUGGACUUGGACCGUGCUGCAGCAAUGCGGCUCGUCUUUAAAUGCAUCGGCCCGGCCCCAGUGUGCCCUCGGCUCGAAAGGUGUGAUAAUUGUCAUCGCCGGAAGAGUCUGUGGGACGGUCGCGGCCUCGUCGCCCUUCGCGGGGCAAUUUAACUUUGCGCUUUGACCUCAAAUCAGGUAGGACUACCCGCUGAACUUAA